UACGUAGGGUGCAAGCGUUGUCCGGAAUUAUUGGGCGUAAAGAGCUCGUAGGCGGUCUGUUGCGUCGGCUGUGAAAACCCGGGGCUCAACCCCGGGCCUGCAGCCGAUACGGGCAGACUAGAGGUAGGUAGGGGAGAAUGGAAUUCCCGGUGUAGCGGUGAAAUGCGCAGAUAUCGGGAGGAACACCGGUGGCGAAGGCGGUUCUCUGGGCCUUACCUGACGCUGAGGAGCGAAAGCGUGGGGAGCGAACAGG
rnacentral:rRNA from 1 species